UGACUACAAGACUUGUAACGUGCUGG
rnacentral:piRNA from 1 species